ensembl:lncRNA
CAUCUAUUUAUGCAGUAUUCCCUUCCAACUGUCUUGUCCAGAUGAUUCACUAACAACUGGACUAAUGACCCUCUCGCUCCUUAGCAGCUGAGAGGGUGAGAGAAUGAAGGGGUCAGGCCAUCAGCUGCUGCAAAUUGGUGCCGCACCAUUGGUUUAAUUGAAGCAGUGCCAGUUUGCACCAGCCAAGAAUCUGAGCCUGGGGCUUAGUUCAGUCUAAGCACAAGGAAAGCAGAUCUCCAAUCUGUUUCCCAUCUUCAAGUUUUCUACCCAAACAUGUUACAACUAAAGUUUAUUACCUAUUGGCUUUUCAGAUGAACAAAAGGAAAAAAAAAAACAACAAAAGCAUCAGCAUGUGAAGAUUUCAUGGUAUCAUAGAAUCACAGAAUCACCAAGGUUGGAAAAGAACUCUUUGGUUUCUUCCUGGUGACCCUCACAAGACAUCAGUAUCUUCACACUUCAUGUAUGCACAUUUGAUUUUGAAGGACAAAAAAUUAAAAUAAGCAGUAAGAUCUAGGAUGUUGUCACAGUUCCAUUAGUUUAGUAUAACAGUGUCUGUUUUACACUUCAGUUUGCUGAUGGCAACACUCGUUUUGGUUCAUAGCACAUGUAUUUUACAUUAAUGUCUGAAGAGAUCGGGAAAUAGAUUGUAGUUAGAAACACAGAGUGAUUUUCAUAACCCUGGUGGGGGUUAUAGACCUGGGGAUUUAGAACAGCAGACUUCAGAUAUGCAUGUAUGUAUUUAUUUAUUUAUUUAUUUUUCCCUUCACUGCUGCAGGGAGCAUAAGAUUACUUCAGUUCCUGAAUCCUUUGGUCUAACCCUACUCUUUCUCCUGGAGUGCUAACAUAUUAUAAAAUACUAAAAAAACUAGUAGCAUUCCCACUGUUAACUGUAAGGAAUUAGACCUCAGGAUCUCUUAUCCUUUUCAUACAGAUUCUGUUCAUUAUCAUUGACUUUGUCAGUUAUAAGUUAACAAUCUGAAACCGUGUUCUAUAUAUAACUCUUUUUUUGUUGUUGGUGGUGAUUAAAAGUAAACUAAAACAGUUUUC